UACGUAGGGGGCAAGCGUUGUCCGGAAUCAUUGGGCGUAAAGAGCGUGUAGGCGGCCAGAUAAGUCCGCUGUGAAAUCUCGAGGCUCAACUUCGAGCUGUCGGUGGAAACUGUCUGGCUAGAGUCCGGAAGAGGAGAAUGGAAUUCCUGGUGUAGCGGUGAAAUGCGCAGAUAUCAGGAGGAACACCGGUGGCGAAGGCGGGUCUCUGGGCCGGAUACUGACGCUGAGGAGCGAAAGCGUGGGGAGCGAACA
rnacentral:rRNA from 1 species